UGGACUUACAGAGUACAGAGGCUUGACUUAGAGCUUGGUGGCUUUCCUAGCUCACCCACAUUGCCAGCAGGGGCUCUGGGUUCCAAGCCAUCUCUGUUGGAAUUACAGAUGGGAGUGGUGGCGUGGCAAGUUCUCCUGGUUCAAAGGGAAGCCACAUGCGUUUUCUGGAUUGGCGUCUGCAGUCCUGGAGCAGCGCCAGCGCACCUGCACUGUUAACCGGUUGACCUGACUUGUCAGAAGAACGCCCUUUUCAAAGACAAAUCUAUGAAAUUCCAUUUCUUGGGGGGGGGACAAGAUCCUGGAUUUUCACCGAGGAUUGUAAAUGUCAACUGCCCGGCUCCCACUGCUGGCUGGAAUGGCCACCACUGUCUACCCUCCCGAGUUCAUUGCAUCGACCCAUCCAACACAUGUGGGGAUUCUGCUCUUUGUUAACCGAAGUCAUGCCCCUCUUACCUGUCUUCCUUCCUUUUUCUGCUGUGAACACUUGCAGCUUUUCAAGGUUGUGAUGAAGUGUUGACCCCUCCCCUUGUUUCCCUGGGAUGCUCUGAGCCUGCCUUUCUGUGACUGGUCCCUGGAAGGGAGGACUGAGAUUCCUGGGAGGCAGGAUGAGAGCAGGUACACAAGGGGCCUGGGUAGAGAGAGCAACUGCAGUGGGUUCCUUUUCAUACAACUGGGACUUGACCCAAGGAAGCAAAAUAAUUGCCAGUAAAAGCUAACAUCAUCGGCGUGAUGUCUUUGACCACUGCUUCUUUAGGAUCUAAGGCACAGUGGGUGUUAAGCAGAUUUGUACUGGAGGCCCCUUGCAACAAGUUACCUCUAGUGACAUUCUUUUAGGUCCCUUUCUCACUGCUGGGGAUUGUCUCUGAGGAAAGGGGUGAGGAGAGAAGUGGAGGAGGAAGGCCAGGCUCGGGGUUCCUGGCUGUGGCUGACGUCCCUUCCUCCAGCUGCUGAGCGCUUUGUGAGUGAUGAAUGAUACAGAAGCAUGCCUCCCGCAGCCAGCUGGCCCCACACCAGGUCUUUGUAAAUGCCAGCCAGAGGCGGCGUUGGUUGCCUGCCAGGCUGGAGACUGUAGGGGCACGUCUUGGGUUCUCAGCCCUCACAUGGAGCUCUCCCCAACUCACAGCGGUGGCAGCCCUAGACCUGGGUUGAUGACUUCUUUGUACCUUUCCUCAGAGCUGCUUCGCAGGCAGGCUUUGCCUACUCGGCUCCCUCAGCCUGUGUGUUUGCUUUGGCAGACUCCUUUCUCCUCCACUCUCAUCUCUUUGAUCCCAAUAUUCUCUUCCACUGCUUGCCUCUUGUCCCUGGAGGAACAGAACAUGUGCUUUGGAAGAACUAGCUAGAAGAUGGGGCAGAUCACUUAAUGUGGGUCUACAUUAACUGAGUUGUGUGCCUUAAAAUCUGCUGUCAUUUUCCUCAGAUUUCUUCCCCUGAACCAGUCUGAGAAAGACAACUGACAGGCAUAAGAGACUCGGGGCAGUAACAUAGAGAGUGUCACUGUUUCCCUGCUUUGAUGAUGUGUAUGUGUUUUCAUAGUUCACUCUGCAUUGGAGAGGUAAGUAUUUUUCUUAUAACUGAGACAUGGAACACAUUGACAGUUUAUUUUUUUGAGAAAAAGUUUUGCUAUGUAGCUAAGGCUGGUCUCAAACUCAGGAUCUGGUUUCAGCCCACCAAGCACUGGGAUUACAGGUCUAUUACCACACCCAUCUAAUUGCCUGUGGUUUUUCUCUUCAUUCUCAUUUUCUCUCUCUCUUGGCAGUGUCUCAUGUAGCCCAGGCUGGUUUCAAACUCACUAACUAGUUGAAGAUGACCUUGGACGCCCAGUGGAUAACACAGAGAUGACGGAUACAGCACAGAACCCCAUGCAUGCUAAGCCACUGAGCCACGUUCUUGGACUGGUUUUGCUUUUUUUCUCGGGAGUGGGCAAAACAAUGUGUUUCUACCAUUAGAUGGAAUAUUAGAUGAAAUACAGUGGCUGGCUAUUUGGGCCAGAAAAUGUCCCAA